GGCUUCGUAGCUCAGCUGGUAGAGCGCUUGCCGCGUAGAGGCAUGGUGUUUCUUUCGCUGGUUCGAAUCCAGCCGAAGCCC
rnacentral:tRNA from 1 species